rnacentral:rRNA from 1 species
UUUAUGGAGAGUUUGAUCCUGGCUCAGGAUGAACGCUGGCGGCGUGCCUAAUACAUGCAAGUCGAGCGAACGGACGAGAAGCUUGCUUCUCUGAUGUUAGCGGCGGACGGGUGAGUAACACGUGGAUAACCUACCUAUAAGACUGAGAUAACUUCGGGAAACCGGAGCUAAUACCGGAUAAUAUUU